rnacentral:rRNA from 1 species
GACCAGACUCCUACGGGAGGCAGCAGUGGGGGAUAUUGCACAAUGGGGGAAACCCCGAUGCAGCGACGCCGCGUGAGUGAAGAAGUAUUUCGGUAUGUAAAGCUCUAUCAGCAGGGAAGAAAAUGACAGUACCUGACCAAGAAGCCCCGGCUAACUACGUGCCAGCAGCCGCGGUAAUACGUAGGGGGCAAGCGUUAUCCGGAUUUACUGGGUGUAAAGGGAGCGUAGACGGUUACGCAAGUCUGGAGUGAAAGGCGGGGGCCCAACCCCCGGACUGCUUUGGAAACUGUAUAACUGGAGUGCAGGAGAGGUAAGUGGAAUUCCUAGUGUAGCGGUGAAAUGCGUAGAUAUUAGGAGGAACGCCAGUGGCGAAGGCGGCUUACUGGACUGUAACUGACGUUGAGGCUCGAAAGCGUGGGGAGCAAACAGGAUUAGAUACCCCCGUAUA